rnacentral:rRNA from 1 species
AGCUUGCUCUUGAUGACGAGUGGCGCACGGGUGAGUAACGCGUAUGCAAUCUACCUAUAACUGAGGAAUAGCCCAGAGAAAUUUGGAUUAAUACCUCAUAAUAUUAUUAUUUGGCAUCAUUUAAUAAUUAAAACUCCGGUGGUUAUAGAUGAGCAUGCGUUCUAUUAGCUAGUUGGUGAGGUAAGAGCUCACCAAGGCUACGAUAGAUAGGGGGCCUGAAAGGGUGAUCCCCCACACUGGUACUGAGACACGGACCAGACUCCUACGGGAGGCAGCAGUGAGGAAUAUUGCACAAUGGAGGAAACUCUGAUGCAGCCAUGCCGCGUGCAGGAUGAAGGCCCUAUGGGUUGUAAACUGCUUUUUUACAAGAAGAAACCUUGGUACGUGUACCAACUUGACGGUAUUGUAAGAAUAAGCACCGGCUAACUCCGUGCCAGCAGCCGCGGUAAUACGGAGGGUGCAAGCGUUAUCCGGAUUUAUUAGGUUUAAAGGGUUCGCAGGCGGAAUUUUAAGUCAGUGGUGAAAGCCUACAGCUCAACUGU